rnacentral:lncRNA from 1 species
GUGAAGUUUAACUCGGCAACUCGAACAAAUUCUUAUUUACAUUGACGGCCUACCCCUGUAUGAAGGACAAACUUUACUGCCCUGUUUCCAGUUGUCCACAUGGCUGGAAGAACCUAUUCAAAUACCUUGUAACUGGAGAUUCCUUCAAAACGAUUGUCUACAGUUACCGUGUAGGACACUGCAAGGUUGGGUGACCAAGGACCAGGAGGGGAUCUGCAGCUCGCCGCCGUGUGCCAGAGGAGGAGUCUGCUGCUCUGCAGGAUGUUUCAAGGAUGGGGUCCAACAACGCAGCAAGAGAGGCAAUCCGUGUGCAGGAGAUCUUCACCUCCUACUUCAUCAAAGAGGGUGCUGUUCCCUGACAACACCAUAGAUGUCACUAUGCACAACCAAAAGCUCUUUUAAGAGCCAUUCACAUUGCAGUAAGACUAUUCUUCCAUUUACUGAGCUAUGUCAACUGCAGUUAUUCAAUUCACAGUUUCUCUCCCUUUGAUUUCUACUUCUCAGGUGAGGGUGCUGUUUAGGUAAGGGUGUGAUGUCUGUGCAAAAACAAAACAGGCUAUUUUAAAUCACCCAUAUUGAAAAAAUGUAGAACAAUUAGACACCCUAUAACCCACACCUACACACUCAUGAAUCAAUCUGAUUGAUGGAUUGUGUUGUGCAGUAAACAGGCUCAGGUGUAUAACUGUGGCUCCUUCCACCUUCAAAGAAUAGGCAAGAGGGCCAACCAUGGAGAAUAGUAAGACACUUCAUUAUUUCUAUAACUACGCUGUAUUGUUUGUCCUUGUUGGUCCGUUCAUGUUUUUCAGCAUAAAGUACUCUGCAGCCACUUAGUGUGGUGUGGACACCAGGUUAUAUCAGCUGUGUCUGUGAACCCCUCCUGCAUCUGAACUGGCUACAUAGAGGGCACAGCAUGAUCAGAGAUAUGUUUUGAUGUGAGAGGAUGCCAACCCCCAGUCCCAUCAUCACCACCUCACCUGCUUUUAAGAACCUUUGGGCCGACGAGAGACACUAUUAUGUAAUUGUGAUGAACUGAGAGAAUAUUUAUGUAGCACUGUGAUUCAUUAAUCAUGUGCUGCCUUCCCUGCUCCUAUGUGCUUACCUCUUUCUCUUUCUGUCUUUUACACCUCUCUCACCACCUCC